rnacentral:rRNA from 1 species
ACACAUGCAGUCGAGCGGAUGAAGGGAGCUUGCUCCUGGAUUCAGCGGCGGACGGGUGAGUAAUGCCUAGGAAUCUGCCUGGUAGUGGGGGAUAACGUCCGGAAACGGGCGCUAAUACCGCAUACGUCCUGAGGGAGAAAGUGGGGGAUCUUCGGACCUCACGCUAUCAGAUGAGCCUAGGUCGGAUUAGCUAGUUGGUGGGGUAAAGGCCUACCAAGGCGACGAUCCAUAACUGGUCUGAGAGGAUGAUCAGUCACACUGGAACUGAGACACGGUCCAGACUCCUACGGGAGGCAGCAGUGGGGAAUAUUGGACAAUGGGCGAAAGCCUGAUCCAGCCAUGCCGCGUGUGUGAAGAAGGUCUUCGGAUUGUAAAGCACUUUAAGUUGGGAGGAAGGGCAGUAAGUUAAUACCUUGCUGUUUUGACGUUACCAACAGAAUAAGCACCGGCUAACUUCGUGCCAGCAGCCGCGGUAAUACGAAGGGUGCAAGCGUUAAUCGGAAUUACUGGGCGUAAAGCGCGCGUAGGUGGUUCAGCAAGUUGGAUGUGAAAUCCCCGGGCUCAACCUGGGAACUGCAUCCAAAACUACUGAGCUAGAGUACGGUAGAGGGUGGUGGAAUUUCCUGUGUAGCGGUGAAAUGCGUAGAUAUAGGAAGGAACACCAGUGGCGAAGGCGACCACCUGGACUGAUACUGACACUGAGGUGCGAAAGCGUGGGGAGCAAACAGGAUUAG